GCCGUGAGGUGUCGGGUUAAAGUCCCAUAACGAGCGCAACCCUUAUCGUAGUUGCCAUCUGGUAAAGCAGGGGACUCUAGCGAAACUGCCACCGUAAGGUGAGAGGAAGUGGGAUGACGUCAAAUCAGCACGGCCCUUAUGUCCAGGGCUACACACGUGUUACAAUGGCCGGUACAGAGGGCAGCUACCUGGUGACAGGAUGCUAAUCUCGAAAACCGGUCUCAGUUCGGAUCGAAGUCUGCAACUCGACCUCGUGAAGCUGGAUUCGCUAGUAAUCGCGCAUCAGCCAUGGCGCGGUGAAUACGUUCCCGGGCCUU
rnacentral:rRNA from 1 species